AUGCCAGCACAACAAAAAUUAUUGUGGAAAACUGCAGAGGAGCGCCGGUUGUGUCGGUGGGUGUUUCACGGCACCUGCUGGAAAAGGCUGCAACUGCGUCCUUGGGCCGGGAUUAAUACAAGAAGGAGUGACCGAGGGACAGACUUUACUCCUUGGGUGUGCUGCAGUCCCUCCUGGGCGUGGAUACACACACAUUCCUCGGGCACUGCGGGAGAAAGCACAACAUUGAAGAGGAUACUUCUUUCUUCAGUAAAUUACAUAUUCCUGGUUUAGCAGACCACGAAGUUGUUAUUGUCACUCACCUGCUCACAUACACCAGGAACUUCCUCUGCUUCUUGAGAAAUUUUCCACCAAAAAAUAGGAACUGAAAGUACAAUUCUAUCAAGUCUUGCAACUUCCUUUCACUUAAUAUAUUCAAUGUUAUUUCAAGUAAUUUUGUAUAUUAUGUUUUGUGACCAUUACUGAUUUUUAACAUUUCUUUUUCUUUGAAAAAUUAUUUGGGUCAGAUGAUAUACACACUUCAAAAAUUUCAAAUGGGAAAAAAAACAUGUGAAAAGUGUUAGAACUGUUUCUUGCGUUACUGUUCGUAUCUCAACCAGAGAUCUUUGCCUUUUGUGCCUCCAGUUCUCCUCUCCAUCCUGCCACUGAGGGAAGGGGGAGAGGAAAGCAGGGGAAGGAGAGAAUGGGCAUGGUUUGGAGGGUCUCUUUUGGGGCACUGAACAGGGGAGUACCAUUCCUAAACCACCCAGUGCUCUAAUCCUCCAUACCCCCAGUGCUCCCAGUGCCCCCCUUGUCCUGGGACCCACAGUGUCCACUGGUUCUGGCUCCCAGUCCUCCCAGUGCUUCUGGCUCCCCAUUCUUCUCAUGCCCAGUGUUUCCAGUACCCCGAGUUCUCAGUGCCCAGUGACAGGAGCUCAGCUCCAGCAUCAGGACCAAAGCUGCUGGUACUACACACCAGUCUUGGGACCCCAGCCACACCAUUGGCCCCAGGCCCCCUUGUGCAGCCCAGGACUACCUCCCAGCCCCAGCCUGGCCCCAUCUCCAUUGCCAGCCCCACUGAGCUGGUAACCAGAGCUCCGAUAGCAGCUGCAGCUGAGGUGACACCAUCAAUAAUUGAGUGGCAGCAGGGCUCCACACAGGACUGCCUGCCUCUGCCUGCCUGGAGUGUGGGGACAGGUAGGUGCUACCCCCA
rnacentral:lncRNA from 1 species